GUGGAUUAGAUACCCUAGUAGUCCUAGCCGUAAACGAUGGAUACUAGGCGUUGCUUGUAUCGACCCGAGCAGUGCCGUAGCUAACGCGUUAAGUAUCCCGCCUGGGGAGUACGCACGCAAGUGUGAAACUCAAAGGAAUUGACGGGGGCCCGCACAAGCGGUGGAGUAUGUGGUUUAAUUCGAUGCAACGCGAAGAACCUUACCAAGGCUUGACAUGUCGCGAAUCUCCUUGAAAGGGGAGAGUGCCUUCGGGAGCGCGAAC
rnacentral:rRNA from 1 species